GAGCUGCGUGUCUUGUACGUGCAUCCUUUUUCCUCUUCCUGGAGCCAGAGGGCUACAUCAGUAGCGUGGUUUGGUGUGGAUCUGUGUGGUGGUUUCGAGACGCUGGCUGUCGAGCUUUCGCUAUUCCCUUUCGUCUGGUAUGUUCCGACACAGUCGCUCUAUCGCUGGGCGAUAUUAGUGCUGUGCCUGAUGCACUUUCUGCUUCCUAGCAGAGUCGGCCCAUAUCCUGGCUGAAGGCCGGGAGCCGUGUGUGUGUGUGUGUGUGUGUGUGUGUGGCCUCGGAGCCAGGCAUAAUAAUCCAUGCGCUGCAUUGGACUUUUGAGGAGCUGUUGGGCCAGGUGGCUGGUGGCUGACUGAUUCCCCCGGCGGUGGUGGUCCCUUCACUCCCUGUACAGUAGUGCACUUGGGUGUCCGUCAAUGGUUUUGUUUUAUUCACAUGUGGUGUGGUGCAUCAGGACCCUUCCCUUCCCCCCUUCAGUUAGUCAUCUCUGCCUGGUAAGCCCUCAGCCCUGUGCCUAGUGACUGUCUUUCGGUGGCAAACUUAACUAAUCCAGGGGGGCCCCUGGAGGAUUAGAUUAAUAUUGUGCCACUUACUACCGAGUUAUUUCUUGGCAUCACCACCAAGGGUUUUUUAGUGAGGAAAGAGUGUAAAUUUUUAAAUACUGUUAAUAAAUUUCAUUUUUCUAUACUUUAUUUGGAAUCGCGUCAGUCUCUGGUGUCUGUCGUACCUGUGUGACCUUUCCUUUGUCUGUAUUGGAGCAGUGGUCCUCUCUCCAUAGAUCUCCUGGGGGUGAAAUUCCCCCAGGUGGCGUUGUCGGACAUGUGAUAAAUAACAAAAGUACAUUCAAUCCCUCGUACCCUUGCCACAUGUGCAGUAACUCAAUCUUUCCUCGUUUUAGUUCACCGACGGCUAGUUUAGAUGUUUGAGGACAGUUUCACGAUGCACGGAAUCUCCGCACACCGCAUUGCAUUUGCAUAAAGUAGAAGUCCAGUCUACUUUAUGCAAAUGAGCUGCAGGCCCGCUCCGGGUAAACACACUGGACCACAGCUGGAAACGAACCGCAACCGGACCAGCAUGCAACUGCGAUGUGUUUCCAGCUGCGAGCCGGUGUGUAAGUUGUUUAUGUUGUGUCAACUGCUGCACAAUAAAAUGUGAAUUGAAAACAA
ensembl:lncRNA